rnacentral:rRNA from 1 species
GACGAACGCUGGCGGCGUGCCUAAUACAUGCAAGUAGGACGCAGUUGCGAACGGUUGAGGAACGCGUAGGUAACUACCUAUUAGAGGGGGAUAACUAUCGGAAACGAUAGCUAAUACAGCAUACUAGUCGAUGGAACUGCGUUGUAUUAGCUAGGAGGUAGGGUAAUGGCCUACCUAGGCAACGAUACGUAGGCGAACUGUGAGGGUGAUCGGCCAGAACGAGAAGGAGACACGGUCCAGACUGCUACGGGAGGGCGGAGUAGGGGAUUGUUGGGAAUGGGAGGAACCCUGACCGGACGACGCCGCGUGAGUGAAGGAGGUUUUCGGAUCGUAAAGCUCUGUUGGUAAGGAAGCGGUACUUAACCAGAAAGGGACGGCUAACUACGUGCCAGCAGCCGCGGUAAUUC